rnacentral:lncRNA from 1 species
AGCUUUAUAUCAAAAAACAAACAACCCAAUUCAAAAAUGGUCAGAAGAUCUAAACAGACAUUUAUCCAAAGACAGACACGUGGCCAAAAAGCACAUGAAAAGAUACUCGACAUCACUAAUUAUUGGCGAAAUUGCAAAUCAAAACCACCGUGAGGUAUUACCUCAUACAAGUUAGAAUGGCCAACAUCAAAAAGGCUACCAACAGUAAAUGCUGGAGAGGGUGUGGAGAGAAGGGAGCCCUCUUAUACUGUUGGUGGGAAUGUAAGCUGGUGAAACCUCUGUGGAGAACAGUGCAGGGGUUCCUUACCAGAAACCCCAAACUAAAUGCACAACUACCAAUCCCAGACCUUGGUCUAUUAAACCAGGCCUGUUGCUGCCUAGAGGGCAUCGUAGCCUUCAUCUUUUCCAGCCUUUGUGGACCAGCCAUUAUUCUGAAAACAGAGAAGCCUUGACUUGACCUUCUCCCAGAAAAGGGUGUUGGGAAUAGCUCUGAUCACCUAACAGCAUGGAUGCCUGCUGGGAAGUCAGUCUCCUUUUAUCUUUGCCAGACAGACACAACUUGGGUGUUCACUUCUCCACCCGUGACUCAGUGAUGAAAUCCUGAUUAGCUUUAGUGACCCUAUUCCGUUGUCAGCGAUUGAUUCGGGGCUGAGAACACGAUCAAGCUGAACUCCUAUGCCUUUCUUUUAAUUUUUUUGUUGUUGUUGUCUUUUUUUUUUUUGUCUAUUCUAGGGCCUCACCCGAGCCACAUGGAGCUAGGGGUCCAAUUGGAGCUGUAGCCGCCAGCCUAUAUCACAGCUCACGGCAACGCCGGAUCCUUAACGCACUGAGUGAGGUUGUGGGUUCGAUCCCUGGCCUUGUUCAGUGGGUUAAGGAUCCAGUGUUGCCGUGAGCUGUGGUGUAGGUCACAGAUGAGGCUUGGAUCCAACAUUGUUGUGGCCCUGGUGUAGGCCUGUGGCUACAGCUCGGAUUGGAACCCUAGCCUGGGAACCUCUAUCUGCUGUGGAUGCAGCCCUAGGAGAGACCAAAAAAAAAAAAAAAAAAAAAAAAGACGGAGAACAAGCUAGUGGUUCCCACUGAGUGCGGGAGGCCGUGUUCAGGUAGAGGCAGAAAGGAUUAGCGUGGGUGACAGAAAACGCGUGGAACUUUCAAAGAUUGUCAAGAACUACAUUAUUUAAAUUUAAUUCAAUUUAAAAAAAAAGAGGCUGGGGUUGCCUUUGUCAAAAAGCCUUCCUCUGAUCUUCUUGUACUGCUCAGAGAUCACACGCAAACACAAGGGUUAGAGCUCAUAGAAAAGAUCGUUGUCCUCGAUAGGGACGAAUUAAUACUGAGCUCUCUCGCUUGCUCAGAAACAGUGCCUUCGAGCGGACCAGUGUUGCAGCCGCCCCGUUCUCCUUCUUUUGCCUGUUUUGUUCUGGCUGGUUUCCCUUGUAGUCAUGAGUUCAAUAGGUAGGGAAGAUGCAUCAAAGGCAGAAAACAAGCCCUGAAGGGACUCUUUCCCGUCCAUGUGCUGUCUUUUCAGGACUGGCUCUGGAAAGACAACAGGAGGAGUUAAACAAAAGAGGAUGCUUUGGUACAGCUAAGGAAAGCGCUGUUUGCUGAAGGACCCUGCCUGCUUUGCAUCCUUUCUGUUGCCAGGAGUGCCGAUAAAGUGCCGCCCAGCAGCACAUAAAAAUUGCACAGUGGGGAGGUGGCAACUGCAUCUUGCAUUUAUUAACUAAAGGUUUGUGCAAAUGAUUUCCAGGCUUUUCCUAACCCUAAACCUAAUAACCCUUUUUGGUGUUAGAACAGCCUCUGUUUGAUUUUUUAAAAAAAUCUGUCCUUCUCUACCCUUUCUCCUGAGGGGAUAAAGUAACUCUCCGGAUUAAAUCUAAUUUUGUUUUGAGAAUUCUGACGCCUGUUGGGAUGACGGGAGAUGGCUGCAAGGUUGUCCAGCUGCAGAUGGGAGUAGCUGGGCUCAAAGGGAAAAGAAUCACCAGCCCCGCUGUGGUGCACUUAAUUUCAACCCAUGAGCCCUUCUUAGGAUUGGGGGUCAUUUUAAAUCACUUUGAAGCCUCAUCUCUUAAUUAAGGGUUUCAGAGUCCUCUGCUCAACCUGUCAGCACCUAGGAAGAAAAGAAGCCUGCUUUGCUUUCAGAUUUAUAGGUUCUCUUUCUAGUUCUGUCUGUCGCCUCCCUCUCCCUGAGUCUGCAUUCCAGCUCUCCAGUCCCCCGCUUCGGGGCCUUUGCUGCAUCCUUUCCGGGAAGCUUACACAAGUUGUCCUCAGGUGGAGCACCUGCUCAGGUAGCUGUGUUUUUCUUUGGCUCUGGGACCUGAGCGGAGGGCCCUUUGGGAGGGCCAGCAAACAUGCUAACGUCCUGGCUGGUGCCAUGGUGCAGGACCUGCGUCCCUGGGGAAACCACCCAGCCCCAUCGUUUGUGGUUCCAAAUGACACUGGGUGGCAGGACAUCCCCACAGCCGCCUGGGGCCUGUGCUUCCAGCCAGUGAGAGCUGCCUCCAAAUCCUGUUUCACCAGCUCUUCUUCUGCCAGGUAGCAUCCCCUCUCUCCCUGGAGCCCCCACCUGGUGAGGCACCCAGCACACCUUUCAGAGGUAAAGGCAGGCUGCUCCCUUGCUCUCUCUGAAGGUGCCUCGCAGUUCCCACCCCCCUCAGCUCAGUUCCCCUAAUCCUUCCUCACAACUGGUCUUCCCUCUGCUGCUUCUUGCUCCCUCAUGUUAGUUUUCUGUGCUGCAGUAAUGAAGCAUCAUAGACUUCGGGGGUCAGAACCACACUUAAUUGGUAUCACACAGUUUCCAAGGGGCGGGAGGCCAGUCACCCCUCAGCCACAUCCUUUCCUGGGGUCUCAGGACCCUGCAACCAGCCAUGAUCAAGGUUGGGGCUGCCUUCGUGUCCAGGGCUCUUCCCAUUGUGCACAGAGCCCGUCUCCCGAAGCUGCAGGGCUCGGGGCGCUUUGCUGCCCAAAAGCCGGUGGCAGAGCCUCUCGGAGCCCACGAGCCUGCCCUUCUUGGAGGGCCUGCUGGACGAGCUUGGCCCUCCCAGGACAAUGGCCCGCGCUGCGCUCUAAGUACCUGAUGAGGGACUUAGACCUUCUCUCCAUCGUUGCCACGUAACAUGGUGUAACUGGGAGGGGUCACCACCUCCGCAGGCUCCUCCCAUACCGGGGACCCAGAUCUGCCCUUUGUCCAUCCAUCACGCUAUUGACCACAUCCUCCGAAACACCACUUCCCAGUUAACACCUUUUUGCUGAACGCGUAUUCUCACGUGGGUGAGAAAACCUCACCCACAUCCUCCCUGAUCCCGCUUUGCGGGCUUAACCACAAAUUCCACCACCCGCUUGGCCCAUGUGACCCCCUUCGGCAUGUCCAGCUCUCGCACCUGCCUGAUCGCUUCCUCCUCUGGACGCAGACUCCCCACCCGCCCAAAUUCUCCUCCCCGCCUCCCCGACCGCUUUUGAAAGGGAGACUUUAGAAGCCAGAGCCAGAUGCCUUAGAUCUGCGCCCUCACCCCGUCAUCCACCUGCGCUGCCCGCGUCUGCGGCCGCAUACCUGCCUCUGCCCGUCCUUUGGGAGGCGCUGGUCCGUGGGAAGCCGGGCCAAUCCUCCGCAUGUGCCCUGGGCCCCUUCCCUCCCCCGCUUGGGGACGGUGCCCCUGCAGCUGCCUCCCCCUUACGCUCUGCGGCCAGCCUUCCAGCUCUAAAGGCUCACUCCUGAUUGCUGCCUCUCAGACCCCAGCCACAGCCAGUGAGCGCUUGCCCUUCUCAGCACCGGCCCGUAGGAAUCGUCUGUGUGCAUCUGCCUGACACAGCUGUCCACAGGCGCCCUUCCCUCCUUUCUCCCUAGAAUCCACUGCAAUCAGAUAUGCGCCCCCCACCCCCUAGGAACAGCCCUUGCCGCAGGCAUAACUGGCCUCUUUUUUGUCACAUCCGGUGAUCAGUCCUCAUCUCACUGAAGCAUUUUGCACCCCUGAGCACAACCUCUUUUUUAAAAAAAUUUUUUUAAAAUGAUUUCUAUUUUUUCCAUUAUAGUUGGUUUACAGUGUUAAUUUUCUACUGCACAGCAAAGAGACCCUGUCACACAUAUAUCACAAGUGACUAGAUAUAGUUCCCAGUGCCCCUUCCCAGGAUCUCAUUGCUUAUCCAUUCCAAGUGCAACAGUUUUCAUCUGUUAACCUGAGACUCCCCGUCCAUCCCACUCCCUCCCUUCCCCCUCCCCCUCAGCAACCAUAUGUCUGUUCUCCAAGUCCAUGAGUUUAUUUUUUGUAGAAAGAUUCAUUUGUGCCGUAUAUUAGAUUCCAGAUAUAAGUGAUAUCAUAUGGUAUUUGUCUUUCUCUUUCUGACUGGUUCCAUCCAUGUUGCUGCAAAUGGCAUUAUUUUGUUCUUUUUUAUAGCUGAGUAGUAUUCCAUUGUGUAUAUAUACCACAUCUCCUGAAUCCAUUCAUCUUUUGAUGGACAUUGAGGUUGUUUCCAUGUCCAGCUAUUGUGAAUAGUACUGCAAUGAACAUUUGAGGUGCAUAUGAAAUGAAUGAAGGUUUGUCUGGAUACAGGCCCAAGAGUGGGAUUGCUGGGUCAUAGGGUAGUUCUAUGUAUAGUUUUCUGAGGUCCGUCGACACUGUUUUCGUGGUGGAUGUACCACAACCUCCUUCUUGAAACCCUUUCUGUGGUUUCCAGGAUACCUCCGUGGAUGGCUCUCCCUGUUUCACGGUAUGGAUGAUAGCCCACAGUUAAAGGUAGGAAGGCGAGGCGCAAGAGAAUGUGUGCAGUGUGAGGAUUUGUGGAAAAUUACGUUUUUGCUUGUGUAGUUGCUCCCUAGAGAAUCUCAGUGGCCGGGGACAAGAUUCAAGUCCUUUCGUGUCUUUGGACUUUUCUUCUUUUGCCUUUCAAAGAUAUUACCUAUUCAAAGUAAAUGAAAUUAAAAGCACACAAGCCAGGCGUUCCUGUUGUGGCUCAGCAGUACGAGAGCCCAGCUAGUAUCUAUGAGGAUGUGGGUUUGAUCCCUGCCUCACUCCGUGGAUUAAAGGAUCCAGCGUUGCUGAGAGCUGUGGUGUAGGUUGUAGACUCAGCUUGGAUCCCAUGUUGCUGUGGCUGUGGCUGUUGCAUAGGCCAGCAGUUGCAGCUCCGAUU